AAGAGGCAAUCCUAGAAAGGGGUAUGAACCAGACCAGACAGAAUGAAGAGUAUCUUAUUUCAUUGGCACAGAACAAAAGAGUGUCUUUCCUUUCCCAGGGCCUGUGGAGUCUAAGGACUCCAAUGAAAGCAGCCUGGCUGAGCUGUGUCCUGAGGACGGAGUUGCAGCCCGCAGGGGAGAGGAGUCCGCCAAGCAGAAAACAUCAUCACCAAGAGACCUGGCUUCGCACCUGGCUCUUUGCUCUUCAAGAAGAGCUGCCUCUCUUUCUCUGGUCCUAGGCCAAAACAUUCCAGAGAAGGCACAGUCCAGGGCACAGCUCUGGACAGGCAGCCCACCCCUCGCUGGCUGGAGUGAAAGGAGGAGCAGAUCCCAGGAAGACAGACUGAGCAAACAUACCAGAUGCCAUAGACAUCUCUCAUGGCACCAAGCAAGAGGCCAGAUUCUAGGUAUGCAUGGGGGAGGGCAGAAGAGAGAGGGCGGUAGAAGACCUGUCGGGGUGGGGUUGGGGAAGAGUGGGGAAAGGGUCCUUCUGUAGCAUAAGCAUGCUAAUUGGAAGGACAUUCAGUUCUGCUCGCGAUCACAGGUGCCUCAGGCCAUAUAUGUUUCCUGCCAAUUUCCUUUCAACCUUAACUAAUAAGUUCUCCGUAAAUUCUGUCUGAUCUAGUGGGCAAAGUAUAGUACCAUUUUCUGUUUAGCUGUGCUUGGUAUAGCGAGAAAGGUUCCCAAAAAUGUUGUUGCCCUCAUCCCUUUGUCUGUAAGUGUCUAUCCAGCACGAACCCUUUCUUAAUAGGCUCCCUACGAAAUGUGGGAGGUAGUAAUAUUCACCAGCAGUAGCUGCAUCUUUUUACUUGAUAGAAUAUAUCUUCUGGCGGUAAACUCUAGCUGCGAGUGUGAUGGGAGCGUAUUUGCUGUAGAAGCUGGACACAGCGGCCGGGUCUUAGCUUUCCCAGAACGGAUCGCCAGCCCGACAAUGGUGCUAACAGGGAUGUGCAGUGGAAAUGACAGGACUUUGGAGCUAGAAAGCCUCAGACUCGAAUCCAGGUUGUAAAAUAAGGACGAUAAUGACUAAGAACUGACUGACUAAGGGCUGCAAUGCGGCAAGUGGUGCACCAUCCAGAUCACCCUUUGUGACUAAGUCAUUUGUUCCCCCAGCUGCUGAGGGUCCUGGGGCUGAUCCCUCACCACCGAGACCCUUCCUAUGGUUUAUUCAAUCAGAAUAAUUUCAAAAUAACUGAAGUCCUUUACUAAUUCUAUUAGGAAUAAGACUUUGGGUUGCAA
rnacentral:lncRNA from 1 species